GUCGUAAUAGCGUGGGUGGAGGGUUGGGAUGGCAAACCAGUCGGGGGAGGAGGAGACAACAAGGUAGAGGGGGCCGGGACUUCGGGAGGAGGAGGUAACACUGGAGAAGGGGUUGGAGGAGUGGUAACGGGGGGUUGGGUCAGGGCGGUGAGGGCAGAGAUUAGGGACGGCAAAUCGGCCGAGGGAGGAGGAGGCAACGAGGUAGAGGGGGCCGGGACUUCGGGAGGAGGAGGUAACACUGGAGAAGGGGUUGGAGGGGUGGUAACGGGGGGGGUUGGGUCAGGGCGGUGAGGGCAGAAAUCAGGGACGGCAAAUCGGCCGAGGGAGGAGGAGGAGGCAACGAGGUAGAGGGGGCCGGGACUUCGGGAGGAGGAGGUAACACUGGAGAAGGGGUUGGAGGGGUGGGAACGGGGGGGCUGGGUCAGGGCAGUGAGGGCAGAGAUUAGGGACGGCAAAUCAGUCGGGAGGGGAGGGGACAACGAGGUAGAAGGGAGGUCCGGAGGCAUAAGGGAAGCGGGAUCAGCGGGAGGACAAGGGUCUGGAGGAUCUGGGGCGGUGGGGUGAGUAAGGUCGAGAGGGCAGAGAGCGGGGCAGCGGAUGGAGACGGGUGAGUGGGUAACACUGGGGAGGGGUCAGUCGAGGUGGAGAGGGGACGAGAGGCAAGCAUAGGUAAAGGUGGCGGGGGAAUGUCAUUUAACGUGAAGGAUGUUACUGUAAACAUACGAUUUUUAACUAGCAAGAUUCUAUUAAGUAAAGAUACAAUGUUUAAAAUAACUUGCAUUAAUUUGCAAUAUCCCUUGUUGCAAGACACAGGCAUUAAUGAAUAAUCAUCAGGAUAAUUAGCUGUUUUUUUUUUUUUUUUUUAAAUAUCACGGACACAUCUCUGAUACAGGGAAACAAAUGGCAUGAUUGUUUUAGUUAAUAUAACGUUUCAGUUCAUAAUAUGUAGAGUGUAAUGUCUCUAAAUAGGACGAGCAUGAUAGGGGUAGGCCUCAUGAUGGAGGCAGCCAUGACAGGGGCGGGGAAGGAAAUGACAGCAAGGGAGGAAGUGAGGUGACGUCCAUGAUAGGUGUGGGAAAGGAAGACAGGAGGUAUGGGCAUGGUAAGGGCGGAAGUGACGUUACUUUAGAAGCAACCGUGACU